UACGAAGGGUGCAAGCGUUGCUCGGAAUGACUGGGCGUAAAGGGCGCGUAGGCGGCUUGGUUCGUUAGGCGUGAAAUUCCUGGGCUUAACCUGGGGACUGCGUUUAAUACAGCCAGGCUUGAGUGUGGAAGAGGGUCGUGGAAUUCCCAGUGUAGAGGUGAAAUGCGUAGAUAUUGGGAAGAACACCGGUGGCGAAGGCGGCGACCUGGUCCAGUACUGACGCUGAUGCGCGAAAGCGUGGGGAGCAAACAGG
rnacentral:rRNA from 1 species